rnacentral:lncRNA from 12 species
UAUUUAUUUUAGAUUAUUUUGGCAGCUAUUUGGAGAUUAGUUAAAAGGAGAGCAAGCCUGGAGACAGACCUGGUGGAAGAACCCAGGUGACCGUCAAGGAUGUCCUGGAUGGAGUCCAAACAACCUGGGGAUGGAAUGUAGGCAGCAAUAGGGGAUGGCAGAUUCACAGCUUCUAGAAGACUCAACUGGAAUGGGGUGCCCUUUUCUUCAGGAACAAGUUGGGCAGAAAGGGAGAAAAUCUACCUUCGUAGUCAUCAUGUAGCUCUUUGGGUUUUUCACAGACGAGAGUGGACCCGUUUGGGGCCUGAGAUCAGCAUAAUCUGACAGAGAGGCUGGCAUUGAUUGGAAGCCUGCUCCUGCUGGAUGCUGUCCUGAGCCCUCUCACAGACACAAGUCUGGGAUGCUUACCACAAACCUACGAGUAGAAUUCUUAUCCAUGUUUUACAGGUAAGGACACUGAGGCUUGGGAAGAGGACAUCACUUGCCUGAGGUGACACUGCUGUUAGGCAGCUGAGCUGCAACUCAAAUCUGGGCCCAUCUGACUCUAAUGUUUGUUUUAACCCAGGUGUUAUCCCCUAUUUUCUAGGCAUUUCCAAUUGAUCUGUCUUUCCGACACUGUUAGCGACAAUAUGGUAACUGAUGUGUGUUCUAACGAGCUGAAGGUUCCACAGAGAAUUUCUGGAGUUUAGUUCUCACCACAAAAUAUUAGUGAAGCAAAUGGUAGAAAUUUUCGCCAAACUCAAAUAGGGAUUAUUCUUUUUAUGUAUUUUUCUUGCACAUGGUU